AGUGUGAUUGCUGGGUCAUAUGGUAAGAGUAUGUUUAGUUUUAUAAGAAAAUUGCCAAACUUUCUUCCAAUGUGGCUGUAUCAUUUUGUAUUCCCACCAGCAAU
rnacentral:pre_miRNA from 1 species